AUUGAACGCUGGCGGCAUGCCUUACACAUGCAAGUCGAACGGCAGCACGGGAGCAAUCCUGGUGGCGAGUGGCGAACGGGUGAGUAAUAUAUCGGAACGUGCCCAGUCGUGGGGGAUAACGUAGCGAAAGCUACGCUAAUACCGCAUACGAUCUAUGAAUGAAAGCGGGGGAUCGCAAGACCUCGCGCGAUUGGAGCGGCCGAUAUCAGAUUAGGUAGUUGGGGAGGUAAAGGCUCACCAAGCCGACGAUCUGUAGCUGGUCUGAGAGGACGACCAGCCACACUGGGACUGAGACACGGCCCAGACUCCUACGGGAGGCAGCAGUGGGGAAUUUUGGACAAUGGGCGCAAGCCUGAUCCAGCAAUGCCGCGUGCAGGAUGAAGGCCUUCGGGUUGUAAACUGCUUUUGUACGGAACGAAACGGUGAGCUCUAAUACAGUUUGCUAAUGACGGUACCGUAAGAAUAAGCACCGGCUAACUACGUGCCAGCCGCCGCCGUAACAC
rnacentral:rRNA from 1 species